CACUCCUGCGGGAGGCAGCAGUGGGGAAUAUUGCACAAUGGGCGCAAGCCUGAUGCAGCCAUGCCGCGUGUAUGAAGAAGGCCUUCGGGUUGUAAAGUACUUUCAGCGGGGAGGAAGGCGAUAAGGUUAAUAACCUUGUUGAUUGACGUUACCCGCAGAAGAAGCACCGGCUAACUCCGUGCCAGCAGCCGCGGUAAUACGGAGGGUGCAAGCGUUAAUCGGAAUUACUGGGCGUAAAGCGCACGCAGGCGGUCUGUCAAGUCGGAUGUGAAAUCCCCGGGCUCAACCUGGGAACUGCAUUCGAAACUGGCAGGCUAGAGUCUUGUAGAGGGGGGUAGAAUUCCAGGUGUAGCGGUGAAAUGCGUAGAGAUCUGGAGGAAUACCGGUGGCGAAGGCGGCCCCCUGGACAAAGACUGACGCUCAGGUGCGAAAGCGUGGGGAGCAAACAGGAUUAGAAACCCCAGUAGUCCCAUG
rnacentral:rRNA from 1 species